rnacentral:sRNA from 1 species
ACUGGGCGUGGUGGCGCACACCUGUAAUCCCAGCUGCCAGGGAGGCUGAGGCAGGAGAAUUGCAAGUUCAAAGCCAGCUUCAGCAACUUAGCCAGGCCCUAAGCAACUCAGCGAGACUCUGACUCUA